rnacentral:rRNA from 1 species
GACGAACGCUGGCGGCGUGCUUAACACAUGCAAGUCGAACGCUGAAGCUCAGCUUGCUGGGUGGAUGAGUGGCGAACGGGUGAGUAACACGUGAGUAACCUGCCCCCUUCUUUGGGAUAACGCCCGGAAACGGGUGCUAAUACUGGAUAUUCACUGGCCUUCGCAUGGGGGUUGGUGGAAAGGUUUGUUCUGGUGGGGGAUGGGCUCGCGGCCUAUCAGCUUGUUGGUGGGGUGAUGGCCUACCAAGGCUUUGACGGGUAGCCGGCCUGAGAGGGUGACCGGUCACAUUGGGACUGAGAUACGGCCCAGACUCCUACGGGAGGCAGCAGUGGGGAAUAUUGCACAAUGGGCGAAAGCCUGAUGCAGCGACGCCGCGUGAGGGAUGGAGGCCUUCGGGUUGUAAACCUCUUUCGCUCAUGGUCAAGCCGCAACAGUGGUUGUGGUGAGGGUAGUGGGUAAAGAAGCGCCGGCUAACUACGUGCCAGCAGCCGCCGUAACAC